rnacentral:rRNA from 1 species
GUGGCAGCCGCCGCGGUAAUACGUAGGGUGCGAGCGUUAAUCGGAAUUACUGGGCGUAAAGCGUGCGCAGGCGGUUUGUUAAGAUAGGCGAGAAAUCCCCGGGCUCAACCUGAGAACUGCGUUUAUUACUGGCAGGCUAGAGUAUGGCAGAGGGGGGUGGAAUGCCACGUGUAGCAGUGAAAUGCAUAGAUAUGUGGAAGAACACCGAUGGCGAAGGCAGCCCCCUGAGCAAAUACUGACGCUCAUGCACGAAAGCGUGGGUAGCAAACAGGAUUAGAUACCCUGGUAGUCCACGCCCUAA